UCCGGUUUGUCACCGGCAGUCUCAUUAGAGUGCCCAACUAAAUGUAGCAACUAAUGACAAGGGUUGCGCUCGUUGCGGGACUUAACCCAACAUCUCACGACACGAGCCGACGACAGCCAUGCAGCACCUGUGUCCAGGCUCCCUUUCGGGCACACUCGCCUCUCAGCGAGCUCCCUGGCAUGUCAAGGGUAGGUAAGGUUCUUCGCGUUGCAUCGAAUUAAUCCACAUCAUCCACCGCUUGUGCGGGUCCCCGUCAAUUCCUUUGAGUUUUAACCUUGCGGCCGUACUCCCCAGGCGGUCGACUUCACGCGUUAGCUUCGGUACCAAGGAAUCGCUUCCCCAACACCCAGUCGACAUCGUUUAGGGCGUGGACUAC
rnacentral:misc_RNA from 1 species